ACGCUCGACACCUACGUGAGGCAGCAGUGGGGAAUAUUGCACAAUGGGGGAAACCCUGAUGCAGCAACGCCGCGUGAGUGAAGAAGUAUUUCGGUAUGUAAAGCUCUAUCAGCAGGGAAGAUAAUGACGGUACCUGACUAAGAAGCUCCGGCUAAAUACGUGCCAGCAGCGGCGGUAAUCUGAGCGGGCUGGCAAGGC
rnacentral:rRNA from 1 species